CCCAUCCUCCUCGUUGGUCAUCGUCGCCGCCACACAGCCUCGCCCCCGACCCCGCCCGACGCCAGAUGCAUCCAAUCAGGAGGUCAGCACCCCCGCCUAGCACUAGCCGCAUCCAGCCUGGCGGUUAGCACCCCACCUCGCUCUAGCCUCCAGCCUGCACCUACAGGGGCCCCACCGGCAGCGCCCCUUCCUGGCAGCCAACCACAUUCGGCUAGGCGGUCAAUGCCCCUGCUCGCUGCCCAUGCCACACCGGCAGCCGGACAACCACUGCUUCACUAUGCUCCAGUAGAUGCUCGAUUGCUUACCGGCGAUGGUGCAGUCCAUCGUCUCCAUCGACAAGAUUUGUGCCAUGCUUGAGGUAUUAGGCCAUACGAGAGGGUAUGUUCAAUUAUAGUUGUUUCAGGUAAUUGUCGUAUACAUAACUUGACUUGUGGAUUGGGAACUUUCAAAUUUAGUUGUCGUAAUUUAUUUCUUCUUUCAGAGAAACUGAAUACUAUUUUUUCUAUGUCCGACAUUGCAAGGGACCCUGGCAUUAUUUACUAUGAAGAUAGAGAUAUGAGAUCAUAUAUAAAAUUACCCAAUACUAGUUAUUGUUUUAACUGCAUCUCUUAUUUAAUUCCAGCGUUAUCCUUAUACCGGUACUCCACAUGAAGGUGAACAUCGUUCUGCUAUGUAAACCUUGGUUAAAAAUCAUCCAAUAUUUUUAUAAAUUGAAAUAUUAUUAACAGUGCAGUCUUAGUAGGGGCUUCUAAACAUAAAGCAUUAAUAAUAUGUAGAAUCACAUAUGACUGAACAAGCGAUCUGAGGUGCUGAUCACAAUAAUAGGGCUUAGAUUGUAAGUGGUUUCCCAUGCCUAACUUGUUUACUACAAUUAUUAUCAUACCAUCUACUUUUCUCUUGCUAGCUGGCUAUAUACAAGCCUGCAACACAUUCUUAUGACACUAGCAGAGUAGCAGGUCAUUAAAUUAGAUAUCUGUACUAGAGUCUAAAAUCCAUUCAAAUUUUAAAUCAUAUACUUUCAUGUAUGGAUGGUGUUUGCAGUGCAAACAUGCAUGUUUAUGUUCCACAGAAUCAUUUUACCUGACAUAGCAUGUUGAAAUUCCUAUACUUUCUUGUUGCAGUAAUCUAUUAAGGCAUUGAUUUCCUUCAGUCGUGUGUUUCCAUUCUCUGCUACUAGUUUUAGAGAAGUUCACUAAUAUGUUUAAAGUUCUAAUGGUUACCUAGACUAGUCCAAGUAGAGUAUACAUAUUGUAGUUCUACUUCAUUGAAUAGUAAAUUCUUGUAUCUGAUGAAAUAUUUUCUUUCUUGUUUCCAUCUACAACAUAUUUAUGAUUCAUUCUCAUUUUCUUUUGCAGGUUCAUGGAGCAUGAUUACCACAUUGGCUAGCGGCACAAUAUGCCUAUGUAUCUAAUAUUUAAUAGUGUAAUUGCUAUGCUCGUGUUCUCUCAUUGCUAUAUUUGUCAUCAUCUGUAGGAGGUUGUCUUAGGUCACUAGAAUCAACAUGGGAAACCUGUUGUGCAGAAUGUUUUGUAGUAUGUUUUGCAUAAGGUUCCUCUUCAUACUACUUGCUUUUCUUUCCAAUUUCAAAAUGCAUUACACAAAUAAAAUUACCAUUUAUAUGUCUAUGUAUAUAAUAUUUCAGGCAUAAGAAAAAAUAGCAUAUGCAAAGAAAUGGGUCAAACCUCAUGUUUGAGAUUACUAAGAUGGUAAUGCCCAUUUGUUCAUGUAGUUCAAUUUAUUAUGUUUUAUCUUUGGCUGACAGUUGGCUAACAUUAUUACUUUCUAUGAUUGAAUAAAUGGAUUCCUGUUAAGGAGAAAUUGGUUGUCCUCAAGAAAAUGUAGAACCUUAUGUACAAAAGAUAUCAACAAGAUGUUAAUAAAUUGAACCUCAUAUUGAGACUACUAAGUUGGUAAUGUCCAUUUGUUCAUGUACUUUAAUAUCUUUUGUUUUAUUUUGGGCUUAUAGUUGGCUGACAUUGUUACUUAUGAUUGAAGAAAUGGAUUUCUAUUAAGGAGAAUUUGUUGUCCUCAAGGAAAAUGCAGAACCUUAUGUACAAAUUGGUUGUCUUCAAAAUGUUGGUCUUGUAGCUGCAAGCCUGCAACAAAGAGAAUAAACAAUUGUGGUGAUGCUACACAUGUAGAAGUAGCAAGGUUGGUCUUGUAACUCCCUAUUUGAUUGUUGAUGAAUGAUAUCUAUGAUAUAUAUUGCUAAGUGAAAGGGAAAUAGGCUUACACCUUUU